AACGAACGCUGGCGGCAUGCCUAACACAUGCAAGUCGAACGAGACCUUCGGGUCUAGUGGCGCACGGGUGCGUAACGCGUGGGAACCUGCCCUUAGGUUCGGAAUAACUCCCCGAAAGGGGUGCUAAUACCGGAUAAUGUCUUCGGACCAAGGAUUUAUCGCCUUUGGAUGGGCCCGCGUUGGAUUAGCUAGUUGGUAGGGUAAAAGCCUACCAAGGCGACGAUCCAUAGCUGGUCUGAGAGGAUGAUCAGCCACACUGGGACUGAGACACGGCCCAGACUCCUACGGGAGGCAGCAGUGGGGAAUAUUGGACAAUGGGCGAAAGCCUGAUCCAGCAAUGCCGGGUGAGUGAUGAAGGCCUUAGGGUUGUAAAGCUCUUUUACCCGGGAUGAUAAUGACAGUACCGGGAGAAUAAGCUCCGGCUAACUCCGUG
rnacentral:rRNA from 1 species